AAUGCAGGCCGGGUGGCCGCGGGCGGCCUCGGCCGUCCGAGGAAAGUCCGGACACCGCAGGGCAGGACGCUGGGGAAACCCCAGGCGGCGAAAGCCGACGGAAAGUGGAACAGAGAGGAGACCGCCGGUCACGCGACCGGUAAGGGUGAAACGGUGGGGUAAGAGCCCACCAGCGACCGUGGUGACACGGCCGGCUCGCCAAACCCCGUCCGGUGCAAGGCGAAGCAGGUCCCGUUGACGUGGCCCGCCGAGGGACCGGGUACGCCGCUCGAGCCUCCGGGGAACCGAAGGCCCAGAUGGAUGGCCAUCCACGACAGAAUCCGGCUUACAGGCCUGCUACGGAA
rnacentral:RNase_P_RNA from 1 species